rnacentral:rRNA from 1 species
GAUGAACGCUGGCGGCGUGCCUAAUACAUGCAAGUCGAGCGAACAGAUGAGGAGCUUGCUCCUCUGACGUUAUCGGCGGACGGGUGAGUAACACGUGGAUAACCUACCUAUAAGACUGGGAUAACUUCGGGAAACCGUGUCUACUACCGGAUAAUAUAUUGAACCGCAUGGUUCAAUAGUGGAAGACGCUUUUGCUUUCGCUGAUAGAUUAAUCCGCGCCGCAUUAGCUAGUUGGUAAGGUAGCGGCUUACCAAGGCAACGAUGCGUAUCCGACCUGAAAGGGACAUCGGCCACACUGGAACUGAGACACGGUCCAGACUCCUACGGGAGGCAGCAGUCGGGAAUCUUCCGCAAUGCGCGAAAGCCUGACGGAGCAACGCCGCGUGAGUGAUGAAGGUCUUCGGCUCGUAGAACUCUGUUAUUAGGAAAGAACAAAUGCGUAAGUACCUAUGCACGUCUUGACGGUACCUAAACAGAAAGCCACGGCUAACUACGUG